GCAUAUCAAUAAGCGGAGGAAAAGAAAAUAACAAUGAUUUCCCUAGUAACGGCGAGUGAAGAGGAAAGAGCUCAAAGUUGGAACCUGUUUGGCUUAGCUAAACCGGAUUGUAAACUGUAGAAGCGUUUUCCAGGCGCACCAAGCAAAUAAGUCCUUUGGAACAGGGCAUCAUAGAGGGUGAGAAUCCCGUCUUUGGCUUGAGUUGUCGUCUAUUGUGAUACGUUUUCAAAGAGUCAGGUUGUUUGGGAAUGCAGCCUAAAUUGGGUGGUAAAUCUCACCUAAAGCUAAAUAUUUGCGAGAGACCGAUAGCGAACAAGUACCGUGAGGGAAAGAUGAAAAGAACUUUGAAAAGAGAGUUAAACAGUAUGUGAAAUUGUUAAAAGGGAACCGUUUGGUGCCAGACUGGCUUGAUUGUAAUCAACCUGGGCUUCGGCUCGGGUGCACUUGCAGUCUAUGCCUGCCAACAACAGUUUGGUUUGGAGGAAAAAAUUAUAAGGAAUGUGGCCCCUCGGGGUGUUAUAGCCUUAUAUCAUACUCUGGACUGGACUGAGGAUCGCAGUGAAUGCCUUUAGGCAAGAUUGCUGGGUGCUUUCGCUAAUAAAUGCUAGAAUUUCUGCUUUGGGUGGUGCUAGUGUUUAAAGGAGGAACUCGCUUGGUAUAUUUUUUAUUCGCUUAGGUUGUUGGCUUAAUGACACUAAAUGACCCGUCUUGAAACACGGACC
rnacentral:rRNA from 1 species